AUUGAACGCUGGCGGCAUGCUUUACACAUGCAAGUCGAACGGCAGCGCGGGCUUCGGCCUGGCGGCGCGUGGCGAACGGGUGAGUAAUACAUCGGAACGUGCCCAGCAGUGGGGGAUAGCUCUGCGAAAGCCGGAUUAAUACCGCAUACGACCUGAGGGUGAAAGCGGGGGAUCUUCGGACCUCGCGCUUUUGGAGCGGCCGAUGGCAGAUUAGCUCGUUGGUGGGGUAAUGGCCUACCAAGGCGACGAUCUGUAGCUGGUCUGAGAGGACGACCGGCCCCCCUGGGAGUGAGACACGGCCCAGACUCCUACGGGAGGCAGCAGUGGGGAAUUUUGGGCAACAGGCGAAAGCCUGAUCCAGCAAUGCCGCGUGUGUGAUGAAGGCCUUCGGGGUGUAAAGCACUUUUGGCGGGAACGAAAACCACUGUGCCAAUACCACGCUUCGAUGACGGUACCCGCAGAAUAAGCACCGGCUAACUACGUG
rnacentral:rRNA from 1 species